CAAUAGCGUAUAUUAAAGUUGUUGCAGUUAAAAAGCUCGUAGUUGGAUUUCUGGUUGGAGCGACCGGUCGGGCAUUGAUUUGUCUGCACUGGAGUCGGUUCUGACCAUCCUCUUGGAAAGUGCGUCUGUCAUUAAGUUGUCGGGCGUAUGAUCCAGGUCUUUUACUGUGAAAAAAUUAGAGUGUUUAAAGCAGGCCUUCGCCUUGAAUACAUUAGCAUGGAAUAAUAAGAUAGGACUUUGGUCUAUUUUGUUGGUUUGCAGACCGAAGUAAUGAUUAAUAGGGAUAGUUGGGGGUAUUUAUAUUCCAAUGUCAGAGGUGAAAUUCUUAGAUUUUUGGAAGAUAAACUUAUGCGAAAGCAUUUACCAAGGAUGUUUUCAUUAA
rnacentral:rRNA from 1 species